UACGGAGGAUGCAAGCGUUAUCCGGAAUGAUUGGGCGUAAAGCGUCCGCAGGUGGCACUUCAAGUCUGCUGUCAAAGACUGGGGCUCAACUCCAGAAAGGCGGUGGAAACUGAAGAGCUAGAGAGCGGUAGGGGUAGAGGGAAUUCCCGGUGUAGCGGUGAAAUGCGUAGAGAUCGGGAAGAACACCAGUGGCGAAAGCGCUCUACUAGGCCGCAACUGACACUGAGGGACGAAAGCUAGGGGAGCGAAUGGG
rnacentral:rRNA from 1 species